rnacentral:tRNA from 1 species
CAAGAAAUAGUUUAAAAAAAAUUUUAAUUUUGGAGAUUAAGGAUAGGUUAUUCCCUUUUCUUGA